UAGCGGCAGGCUUAACACAUGCAAGUCGAGGGGUAACGAUGGUGCUUGCACCAGGCGACGACCGGCGGACGGGUGAGUAACGCGUAUGCAUCCUACCUAUUGCAGGAGGAUAGCCCGAGGAAACUCGGAUUAAUAUUCCAUAAUAUCAUUUUUACACAUGUAUUAAUGAUUAAAGCUACGGCGGCAAUAGAUGGGCAUGCGUACCAUUAGCUAGUUGGUGAGGUAACGGCUCACCAAGGUUACGAUGGUUAGGGGGUCUUAAAGGAUGAUCCCCCACACUGGUACUGAGACACGGACCAGACUCCUACGGGAGGCAGCAGUGAGGAAUAUUGGGCAAUGGACGCAAGUCUGACCCAGCCAUGCCGCGUGCAGGAUGACUGCUCUAGUAGCUGUAAACUGCUUUUCUAUUUCAUGAACCCCUCUGACGUGUCAGGGGCUGACAGUAGAAUAGGAAUAAGCAUCGGCUAACUCCGUGCCAGCAGCCGCGGUAAUACGGAGGAUGCAAGCGUUAUCCGGAUUUACUAGGUUUAAAGGGUGCGUAGGCGGGGUAUCAAGUCAGUGGUGAAAUCCUGCAGCUCAACUGUAGAACUGCCAUUGAAACUGAUAUUCUUGAGUAUAGUUGAGGUAGGCGGAAUGUGUUAAGUAGCGGUGAAAUGCAUAGAGAUAACACAGAACACCGAUUGCGAAGGCAGCUUACUAAACUAUUACUGACGCUGAGGUACGAAAGCGUGGGGAGCGAACAGGAUUAGAUACCCUGGUAGUCCACGCCGUAAACGUUGAUCACUAGUUGUUUGCGAUACAUUGUGAGCGACUGAACAAAAGCAUUAAGUGAUCCACCUGGGGAGUACGUUGGCAACGAUGAAACUC
rnacentral:rRNA from 1 species